UUAAGUUAUUAAGGGCGCACGGUGGAUGCCUUGGCACUAGAAGCCGAUGAAGGACGUUACUAACGACGAUAUGCUUUGGGGAGCUGUAAGUAAGCUUUGAUCCAGAGAUUUCCGAAUGGGGAAACCCAGCAUGAGUUAUGUCAUGUUAUCGAUAUGUGAAUACAUAGCAUAUCAGAAGGCACACCCGGAGAACUGAAACAUCUUAGUACCCGGAGGAAGAGAAAGAAAAUUCGAUUCCCUUAGUAGCGGCGAGCGAAACGGGAAGAGCCCAAACCAACAAGCUUGCUUGUUGGGGUUGUAGGACACUCUAUACGGAGUUACAAAGGACGACAUUAGACGAAUCAUCUGGAAAGAUGAAUCAAAGAAGGUAAUAAUCCUGUAGUCGAAAAUGUUGUCUCUCUUGAGUGGAUCCUGAGUACGACGGAGCACGUGAAAUUCCGUCGGAAUCUGGGAGGACCAUCUCCUAAGGCUAAAUACUCUCUAGUGACCGAUAGUGAACCAGUACCGUGAGGGAAAGGUGAAAAGCACCCCGGAAGGGGAGUGAAAUAGAACCUGAAACCGUGUGCUUACAAGUAGUCAGAGCCCGUUAAUGGGUGAUGGCGUGCCUUUUGUAGAAUGAACCGGCGAGUUACGAUUUGAUGCAAGGUUAAGCAGUAAAUGUGGAGCCGUAGCGAAAGCGAGUCUGAAUAGGGCGUUUAGUAUUUGGUCGUAGACCCGAAACCAGGUGAUCUACCCUUGGUCAGGUUGAAGUUCAGGUAACACUGAAUGGAGGACCGAACCGACUUACGUUGAAAAGUGAGCGGAUGAACUGAGGGUAGCGGAGAAAUUCCAAUCGAACCUGGAGAUAGCUGGUUCUCUCCGAAAUAGCUUUAGGGCUAGCCUCAAGUGAUGAUUAUUGGAGGUAGAGCACUGUUUGGACGAGGGGCCCCUCUCGGGUUACCGAAUUCAGACAAACUCCGAAUGCCAAUUAAUUUAACUUGGGAGUCAGAACAUGGGUGAUAAGGUCCGUGUUCGAAAGGGAAACAGCCCAGACCACCAGCUAAGGUCCCAAAAUAUAUGUUAAGUGGAAAAGGAUGUGGCGUUGCCCAGACAACUAGGAUGUUGGCUUAGAAGCAGCCAUCAUUUAAAGAGUGCGUAAUAGCUCACUAGUCGAGUGACACUGCGCCGAAAAUGUACCGGGGCUAAACAUAUUACCGAAGCUGUGGAUUGUCCUUUGGACAAUGGUAGGAGAGCGUUCUAAGGGCGUUGAAGCAUGAUCGUAAGGACAUGUGGAGCGCUUAGAAGUGAGAAUGCCGGUGUGAGUAGCGAAAGACGGGUGAGAAUCCCGUCCACCGAUUGACUAAGGUUUCCAGAGGAAGGCUCGUCCGCUCUGGGUUAGUCGGGUCCUAAGCUGAGGCCGACAGGCGUAGGCGAUGGAUAACAGGUUGAUAUUCCUGUACCACCUAUAAUCGUUUUAAUCGAUGGGGGGACGCAGUAGGAUAGGCGAAGCGUGCGAUUGGAUUGCACGUCUAAGCAGUAAGGCUGAGUAUUAGGCAAAUCCGGUACUCGUUAAGGCUGAGCUGUGAUGGGGAGAAGACAUUGUGUCUUCGAGUCGUUGAUUUCACACUGCCGAGAAAAGCCUCUAGAUAGAAAAUAGGUGCCCGUACCGCAAACCGACACAGGUAGUCAAGAUGAGAAUUCUAAGGUGAGCGAGCGAACUCUCGUUAAGGAACUCGGCAAAAUGACCCCGUAACUUCGGGAGAAGGGGUGCUCUUUAGGGUUAACGCCCAGAAGAGCCGCAGUGAAUAGGCCCAAGCGACUGUUUAUCAAAAACACAGGUCUCUGCUAAACCGUAAGGUGAUGUAUAGGGGCUGACGCCUGCCCGGUGCUGGAAGGUUAAGAGGAGUGGUUAGCUUCUGCGAAGCUACGAAUCGAAGCCCCAGUAAACGGCGGCCGUAACUAUAACGGUCCUAAGGUAGCGAAAUUCCUUGUCGGGUAAGUUCCGACCCGCACGAAAGGCGUAACGAUUUGGGCACUGUCUCAACGAGAGACUCGGUGAAAUCAUAGUACCUGUGAAGAUGCAGGUUACCCGCGACAGGACGGAAAGACCCCGUGGAGCUUUACUGUAGCCUGAUAUUGAAAUUCGGCACAGCUUGUACAGGAUAGGUAGGAGCCUUUGAAACGUGAGCGCUAGCUUACGUGGAGGCGCUGGUGGGAUACUACCCUAGCUGUGUUGGCUUUCUAACCCGCACCACUUAUCGUGGUGGGAGACAGUGUCAGGCGGGCAGUUUGACUGGGGCGGUCGCCUCCUAAAAGGUAACGGAGGCGCUCAAAGGUUCCCUCAGAAUGGUUGGAAAUCAUUCAUAGAGUGUAAAGGCAUAAGGGAGCUUGACUGCGAGACCUACAAGUCGAGCAGGGUCGAAAGACGGACUUAGUGAUCCGGUGGUUCCGCAUGGAAGGGCCAUCGCUCAACGGAUAAAAGCUACCCCGGGGAUAACAGGCUUAUCUCCCCCAAGAGUUCACAUCGACGGGGAGGUUUGGCACCUCGAUGUCGGCUCAUCGCAUCCUGGGGCUGUAGUCGGUCCCAAGGGUUGGGCUGUUCGCCCAUUAAAGCGGUACGCGAGCUGGGUUCAGAACGUCGUGAGACAGUUCGGUCCCUAUCCGUCGUGGGCGUAGGAAAUUUGAGAGGAGCUGUCCUUAGUACGAGAGGACCGGGAUGGACAUACCUCUGGUGUACCAGUUGUCGUGCCAACGGCAUAGCUGGGUAGCUAUGUGUGGACGGGAUAAGUGCUGAAAGCAUCUAAGCAUGAAGCCCCCCUC
rnacentral:rRNA from 3 species